rnacentral:ncRNA from 18 species
AAGACUGAUGAUGAUUUUCACUGGGCAGGGCAAGAUUGAUGAUUGAGCCCUGGAUAACUGAUUAUG